rnacentral:rRNA from 1 species
ACGAACGCUGGCGGCGUGCUUAACACAUGCAAGUCGAACGGAAAGGCCCUGCUUUUGUGGGGUGCUCGAGUGGCGAACGGGGGAGGAACACGUGAGUAACCUGCCCUUGACUUUGGGAUAACUUCAGGAAACUGGGGCUAAUACCGGAAAGGCGCUCCUGCUGCAUGGGGGGGGUUGGAAAGUUUCGGCGGUUGGGGAUGGACUCGCGGCUUAUCAGCUUGUUGGUGGGGUAGUGGCUUACCAAGGCUUUGACGGGUAGCCGGCCUGGGAGGGUGACCGGCCACAUUGGGACUGAGAUACGGCCCAGACUCCUACGGGAGGCAGCAGUGGGGAAUAUUGCACAAUGGGCGGAAGCCUGAUGCGGCAACGCCGCGUGCGUGAUGACGGCCUUCGGGUUGUGAACCGCAUUCGCCUGUGACGACGCGUGAGUGACAGUAAUGGGUAAAGAAGCACCGGCUAACUACGUG